CCAGCCAGCGCGAGCGCUGCCCCGCCCCUGCCCGGGGAAUUCCACCUUCCCUGCAGUGCAACACAGCCCGGGCGGGGCGCGGCGAGCCGUGCUGCAAGAGCUGCUCAGGCAGGUGGAUGACUGAAGCAGCAGAGAACCUUGGUGUCUGAAGAAUGGCUAGUGUUGCUUUAGUGGAGGGAGAGCAUUGCGGGUACACAAACUCUGGAUGGAGAAUCAGCUAUGGAUUUCUGAACUAUACCACUACUUAAUUGCAGAUACAAGGGAAAUAAUCUUAACAUGACAUAUUAAAGAAAAGGAAAUUUGACUCCUC